rnacentral:rRNA from 1 species
GAUGAACGCUGGCGGCGUGCCUAAUACAUGCAAGUCGAGCGAACAGACGAGGAGCUUGCUCCUCUGACGUUAGCGGCGGACGGGUGAGUAACACGUGGAUAACCUACCUAUAAGACUGGGAUCACUUCGGGAAACCGGCGCUAAUACCGGAUAAUAUAUUGCACCGCAUGGUUCAAUAGUGAAAGACGGUUUUGCUGUCACUUAUAGAUGGAUCCGCGCCGCAUUAGAUGGUUGGUAGGGUAACGGCUUACCAAGGCAACGAUGCGUAGCCGACCGGAGGGGCGGAUAGGCGACCCGGGAACGGAGACGGGGACCAGGCUCCUGCGGGAGGCAGCAGUAGGGUAUCUGCCGCAAUAGGCGGGAGCCUGACGGAGCGGCGCCACGUGAGUUGUGAAGAUGUUCGGAGCGUAAUACUGUGUUAUGGGGGAAGAACAAAUGUGGAAGGAACUGAGCACGUCUUGACGGUACCUAAUCAGGAAGCCACGGCUAACUACGUG